rnacentral:rRNA from 1 species
GUGGCGAACGGGUGAGUAAUGUAUCGGAACGUGCCCAGUUGUGGGGGAUAACUGCUCGAAAGAGCAGCUAAUACCGCAUACGACCUGAGGGUGAAAGCGGGGGACCGUAAGGCCUCGCGCGAUUGGAGCGGCCGAUGUCAGAUUAGCUAGUUGGUGGGGUAAAGGCCUACCAAGGCAACGAUCUGUAGUUGGUCUGAGAGGACGACCAGCCACACUGGGACUGAGACACGGCCCAGACUCCUACGGGAGGCAGCAGUGGGGAAUUUUGGACAAUGGGCGCAAGCCUGAUCCAGCAAUGCCGCGUGCAGGAAGAAGGCCUUCGGGUUGUAAACUG